ACCAAUUAGCAACCACAACCUUUGAAGAAGGCAGGGCAACAGGGGUGAGGAAGCUGGCUGGGUUUGGGAGGUAACCACAGCUGCUGGGACGAGGACUCCUCUGGCCAACCGGAACAAGCUGGAAUCUUCGGUGUCAGAGGAACCCUGGCCACGGUGCAAGGACAGGCUGGCCUGAAGGAGGCACCCAGGCAUCGGGAGCAGCUGGACGGUCAACAGGGUGAAGGGAGUUGAGAAGGGCACCGGGGACGGGAGAGGCAGUGGCCCCAGGGUCUCUGCUAGGUUGCAAGUGAAUCAAAAGCAACCACACAGGAAAAGUGUCAGGCACAGGGCAGAGGCUCAAGCACCCUCCAGUGAGGCCCAUGGUGUAGAGAAACAAACAGACACCAGGAUGGACACGGGCACCCAUCCCUCCAGGCGCUGUGGACCUGGGACAGCCACGGAAUUGCUUGCAGUCAGAUGGCGCAGGACGGUGGAUGGCAUCUGAGGACUCUCUCUGCUCCAGACAUCAUUCCAGGAAAGUGACGGGACUGGCCUGUGCCUCUCCCCAGGGUUUCUGGCUCCCUGUCUCCAGAGUCCUACUUGAAGUGCUUUUUUAAGGCCAGCUGCCUCCAAUCCGUUGCUGUCCACCAAGGUCUGGGCCCAGAUGACGCUGCCAGCCCCUUGCCCUCUCUUUCUACCACAAACUCCUGCUGCUACCCAAUCUCCCCCCUUAAUCCUCCCAACAGCAUCCUGCCUAUGUCACUCUGGCCCCUCUGUCUGCUGACCACCCACCUUCUCUCCAUCAGUUGGCCACCACCUCAGAAGCCACCUGCUCUUGCAGGCUUCUUUUUUUUUUUCUUUUUUUUUUGAGAUGGAGUUUUACUCUGUCACCCAGGCUUGGGUGCAAUGGCGCGAUCUCAGCUCACUGCAACCUCCGCCUCCCGGGUUCAAGUAAUUCUCCUGCCUCAGCUUCCCAAGUAGCUGGGAUUACAGGAGUGCGCCACCAUGCCUGGCUAAUUUUUGUAUUUUUUGUAGAGAUGGGGUUUCUCCAUGUUGGCCAGGCUGGUCUCAAACUCCUGACCUCAAGUGAUCUGCCCACCUCGGUCUCCCAAAGUUCUGGGAUUAUAGGCGUGAGCCACGACACCCAGCCUCUUGUGGGCUUCUCCAACCCCUUUCCAUAUCCCACUGGCUCCAGCCCUGAGCUCAGCUUCCUCUGCCUUGAACAGCCCGCUAGCCAAGCCCCUGGCCCUGCUCCUCAUCCAGCACGCCCUGCCCAGGCACAUGUAGAUUUGGGGACCACAGGUUGACCAGCAUAUUGGGCAGGAAGGUUCCUCUUCUCCUUAGAACCCAAUUUCCACACUUGAAAAAAGAAGGGGGAAUCCAUGGGGGUGGUUGUGAUUCCUUUAAACACUGACAGACAGCCGUGGGAGAGGGUCAUGAUUUGAACCCAGACCACUGGGUUCCAGUCCUGCCACUAUUGGACACACUGUUUGCCUCUGUGAGCUUCUGACCCACAUCUGCAACAUGGGAGCGGCUAGUACUCAGCUCACAGGGUUCAAGGAAUUGCAAUGGAUAAUAUUAGUAUCCAUCUGAGGGUUCGAGGGGUCAAAUGAAGCAGUAUUAGGGUGACCCAAUGUCUUGCUUUGCCUGGGACAGUCCCAGUUGAUAUCCACAGCCCUGGCAUAAUUAAUAAUAGUAUCUCCUUUCAUUCUCACAAGUGUACUGAUUUGGAUAUUGUUCAAUUAUAACUAAAUGCGAACUAUUGACUGCGGUGGUUGUGAUGUGGAUCCGUAUGUCAUAAAUGGCGUGGAGCCACACUCACACACUGUACCAACGUCCAGCUACCGGUCUGGAUGUUAAACUCUAGUGACGUAAGAUGUCACCAUUGGGGGAAAUUGGGUAAAGGGCAUCUGAGACCACUCUUCACUAUUUUUUGCAGCUUCUUAUGGAUCUACAAUUAUUUCAAAAUAAAAAAUUCUAAAAAAAAAAAAAAAAAAAAAAAAAAAAAAAAAAAA
rnacentral:lncRNA from 1 species